rfam:Onchocerca ochengi, WGS project CAWC01000000 data, contig: 02937_4426
CCAGCCAUAGCUCAGUUGGUAGAGCGGAGGACUGUAGAGUGCAACGUAGUGAUCCUUAGGUCGCUGGUUCGAAUCCGGCUGGCUGGA